rnacentral:rRNA from 1 species
UACGUAGGGUGCGAGCGUUAAUCGGAAUUACUGGGCGUAGAGCGUGCGCAGGCGGUUUUGUAAGCCAGAUGUGAAAUCCCCGGGCUUAACCUGGGAACUGCAUUUGGGACUGCAAGGCUUGAGUGCGGCAGAGGAGACUGGAAUUCCUGGUGUAGCAGUGAAAUGCGUAGAUAUCAGGAGGAAUACCGAUGGCGAAGGCAGGUCUCUGGGCUGACACUGACGCUCAUGCACGAAAGCGUGGGGAGCAAACAGG